rnacentral:sRNA from 1 species
UUUUAGCCCCGAUAGCAGUGGAAAUCCUUUUAUUUUUUUUCUUUAAAAAAUAAAAGAUUGCAACGGAUAGCGGGAUUAGCU